rnacentral:pre_miRNA from 1 species
UACAUACUCCCUCCGUUCGGAAUUACUCAUCCAAGAAAUGAAUGUAUCUAGAUGUAUUUUAGUUGUAGAUACAUCCAUUUUUGUGACAAGUAAUUCCGAACGGAGGGAGUACUAC